rfam:Danaus plexippus plexippus isolate F-2 unplaced genomic scaffold DPSCF300374, whole genome shotgun sequence.
UCACUCUGGUUUCCCUUCAAAACGUAUAAAUCUUUCGCCUUUUACUAAAGAUUUCCGUGGAGGGGAACACUCAAAUGAGUCUAAACAAUAUUUUUGAAGCCUCACUUUGUGAGGU